AUGCUCACCUCUGCAGCACAUAUAUUAAAAUUGGAACAAUACAGAGAAGAUUAGCACGGUCCUUGUGCAAAGAUGACAUGCAAAUUCGUGAAGUGUUCCAUAUUUUU
ensembl:snRNA U6 U6 spliceosomal RNA